rnacentral:rRNA from 1 species
AAGCGGUGGAGUAUGUGGUUUAAUUCGACGCAACGCGCAGAACCUUACCUAGACUUGACAUCCGGGAUUUCUGGAAACAGAGAAGUGCUUUAGCAAUAAAGAACCCGGUGACAGGUGCUGCAUGGCUGUCGUCAGCUCGUGUCGUGAGAUGUUGGGUUAAGUCCCGCAACGAGCGCAACCCUCGCCUUUAGUUGCCAGCAUUCAGUUGGGCACUCUAGAGGGACUGCCGGUGUCAAACCGGAGGAAGGUGGGAUGACGUCAAGUCCUCAUGGCCUUUAUGUCUAGGGCUACACACGUACUACAAUGGCCGGUACAAAGGGCAGCCACUCAGCGAUGAGGCGCUAAUCCCAUAAAGCCGGUCUCAGUCCGGAUCGCAGUCUGCAACUCGACUGCGUGAAGUUGGAAUCGCUAGUAAUCGUAGAUCAGCAUGCUACGGUGAAUACGUUCCCGGGCCUU